UCAGGUGCAAUAAGGAAGGACAGAGGACUUUGGUCCGAGACGCUGGUUUGAAGCGGUACGUAACGUUUGUCUUGUGAUGAGAUCGACGCUCCUCUGACUGUGACAAGGAGAGACGACCAGCGGGCUUCACUAAAGGUGUUUUGAGAGGUGCUGUGACAUCAUCGAGGGGUGCUGUGACAUCAUCGUCGGCCAUGGAGGGGAGGAGUGUUCUGAGGCGUGCCCAAUCUCUACGGAGCGUCUCUACGGGCGACGGAGACAAGCCCACCUGGGCGGAGGCGGGGUUUAGGGACAGGAUGAAGUCCAUCUCCGUAUCUCAGAUGUUGACCAGAUAUCAAGCCAGCCCUUCAGUAGAGGUCCCUACUCUGAACCAUGUGGAACACAAGACUGAGAUAACCCAACACCAGACCUCCUUCUCAACCGUCCGUGAGAAAACAAAGAGACAACUGGCAGAGAACGCACAGGAGCGCAAGAUGGAGUCCCCGAUGAGAAACAACGGAGUGAGAGAGGAAACCCGUGGGUCCACCAGCCUGUCAGGGUCCCAGAGGUCGACCAGCCUGUCAGGGUCCCAGAGGUCGACCAGUCUCUCCCGCAGUAAGUCCAUGUCCAGUCUCCCUGGCCCCUCUCCCAGAGUCGACCCGGCCGGGAGUAUCGGAGCCCUGAAGGCUCUCUUCGAGUCCAAGGUCACCAAGGAGAAGGUGAAGAGCAUCAUGGGAGCUGUAGACCAAACACCACCACGUCAGAAGAUGGCAGCUGCGGCCCCAGCCGUCAACGGGUUGGUGGAUGAGAGAGAGGGCCCUAUAGAGGAGAAAGGGCCACUGACAGCUGUACCUUCAGCUGCACCUGCACCCCCGGCUAGAGACAAGGUCACUACACAGGUCGGGAGAACGACGCGCUCAGAGAGGAGAAAGACCAUCAGUGGUAUCAAUCUGGAAAAGAUAUCUACAGCAUCUCAGGAUGAUGACAAGAGGAAGUCGAUCUCAGACCUCAGAGACGCCAGUUCCUCCUCCUCCUUCAACCCGGACAGGGAGAAACCGGUCGCUUCCGUCUCUGUCAGAGCCAUAUCUGCCCUCUAUCUGUCCAAGGUAGCAGCUGCAGAGUCAACAGCUCAAGAUCCAUCCUCUCCAACCAAGAGAGGAGUGAAACCAUCCAAGGUAGGCAGAGGAGUCCUGUUGUCUUCUUAA
rnacentral:lncRNA from 8 species